GUGCAGUAACGGCGAGUGAACAGGCAAGAGCUCAGAUUUGAAAGGCACUUUUGUGCCGUUGUAUUCUGAAGUUAGGGUCCUGAGAAACGAUGCUUAAGUCUUCUGGAAAGGAGCGCCAUGGAGGGUGAUAGCCCCGUCUAGCAUUGACCUCAUAUAGGAUCUUAACAUGGAGUCGAGUUGUUUGGGAAUGCAGCUCAAAUGGGUGGUAUGCUCCAUCUAAAGCUAAAUAUCUGCGAGAGACCGAUAGUAAACAAGUACUGUGAGGGAAAGAUGAAAAGAACUUUGAAAAGAGAGUGAAAAAGUACGUGAAAUUGUUGAAAUGGAAGGGUAGGCCGCUAACCAUGUAGAGCCGUGUUUGGGGGGAAGAUAAAUGCUGUAGAAUGUAGCUCCUCGGAGUAUUAUAGAUGCAGUUCAUAUUCCCACCCGAGCGCGAGGAUCUCAGGUUCUACUAAAUGGUGGUCUACCACCCGUCUUGAACAAAGGGACCAAA
rnacentral:rRNA from 1 species